GUUCAAUUUCUCCCUCCUCGUUUUUCAUUCUCCCCAUCCGAUCUCCGUAACUGUCUCUCCGCAAUCUCAUCCUCUUCUUCUUCUUCUAAUUCUUCUCAGAAGGUGACCUCCCCACCACUUCCACACCCAUCCCCACCCGCCUCUGAUCCUCCUUCUCCCCCACCAUUACCCCCACCUCCUUCCAUUCAACAGCAACAAAAAGAUCAGAUUCUAGACGGUGGCAUCAUCAAGCGGGCCUUCAAUCCUUACGGUGCAGCCGCAUACAACUUCGUUCUCAUGUCCGCUUACAGAGGUGGCCUCAACACUUUCGCGGUCGUCGGACUC
rnacentral:lncRNA from 1 species